UCGAGCGGACCGACGGGAGCUUGCUCCCUUAGGUCAGCGGCGGACGGGUGAGUAACACGUGGGUAACCUGCCUGUAAGACUGGGAUAACUCCGGGAAACCGGGGCUAAUACCGGAUGCUUGAUUGAACCGCAUGGUUCAAUCAUAAAAGGUGGCUUUUAGCUACCACUUACAGAUGGACCCGCGGCGCAUUAGCUAGUUGGUGAGGUAACGGCUCACCAAGGCGACGAUGCGUAGCCGACCUGAGAGGGUGAUCGGCCACACUGGGACUGAGACACGGCCCAGACUCCUACGGGAGGCAGCAGUAGGGAAUCUUCCGCAAUGGACGAAAGUCUGACGGAGCAACGCCGCGUGAGUGAUGAAGGUUUUCGGAUCGUAAAACUCUGUUGUUAGGGAAGAACAAGUACCGUUCGAAUAGGGCGGUACCUUGACGGUACCUAACCAGAAAGCCACGGCUAACUACGUGCCAGCAGCCGCGGUAAUACGUAGGUGGCAAGCGUUGUCCGGAAUUAUUGGGCGUAAAGCGCGCGCAGGCGGUUUCUUAAGUCUGAUGUGAAAGCCCCCGGCUCAACCGGGGAGGGUCAUUGGAAACUGGGGAACUUGAGUGCAGAAGAGGAGAGUGGAAUUCCACGUGUAGCGGUGAAAUGCGUAGAGAUGUGGAGGAACACCAGUGGCGAAGGCGACUCUCUGGUCUGUAACUGACGCUGAGGCGCGAAAGCGUGGGGAGCGAACAGGAUUAGAUACCCUGGUAGUCCACGCCGUAAACGAUGAGUGCUAAGUGUUAGAGGGUUUCCGCCCUUUAGUGCUGCAGCAAACGCAUUAAGCACUCCGCCUGGGGAGUACGGUCGCAAGACUGAAACUCAAAGGAAUUGACGGGGGCCCGCACAAGCGGUGGAGCAUGUGGUUUAAUUCGAAGCAACGCGAAGAACCUUACCAGGUCUUGACAUCCUCUGACAACCCUAGAGAUAGGGCUUCCCCUUCGGGGGCAGAGUGACAGGUGGUGCAUGGUUGUCGUCAGCUCGUGUCGUGAGAUGUUGGGUUAAGUCCCGCAACGAGCGCAACCCUUGAUCUUAGUUGCCAGCAUUCAGUUGGGCACUCUAAGGUGACUGCCGGUGACAAACCGGAGGAAGGUGGGGAUGACGUCAAAUCAUCAUGCCCCUUAUGACCUGGGCUACACACGUGCUACAAUGGGCAGAACAAAGGGCAGCGAAGCCGCGAGGCUAAGCCAAUCCCACAAAUCUGUUCUCAGUUCGGAUCGCAGUCUGCAACUCGACUGCGUGAAGCUGGAAUCGCUAGUA
rnacentral:rRNA from 1 species